AGUGAACGCUGGCGGUAGGCCUAACACAUGCAAGUCGAACGGCAGCACAGUAAGAGCUUGCUCUUACGGGUGGCGUGUGACUGACGGGUGAGGAAUACAUCGGAAUCUACUUUUUCGUGGGGGAUAACGUAGGUAAACUUACGCUCAUAUCGCAUACCACCUUCUGAUGUAAGCAGUGGAUCUUCGUACCUUGCGCGAUUGAAUGCGCUGAUGUCGGAUUAUCUAGUUGGCGGGGUAAAGGCCCACCAAGGCGACGAUCCGUACCGGGGCGGAGAGGAUGAUCAGCCACACGGGAACGGGGACACGGCCCAGACUCCUACGGAAGGAGGCAGAGGGGAAUAUUGGACAUGGGGGGAAGUCCGGAUCAAGCAAGACCGCUUGGUUGAAGAAGUCUUUCGGGUGUUAAAGCCUGUUUGUUGAGAAAGAAAAGCAGCAGGUUAAUACCCCGAUGUUCUGACGGUACCCAAAGAAUAAGCACCGGCUAACUUCGUG
rnacentral:rRNA from 1 species